AUUGAACGCUGGCGGCAGGCCUAACACAUGCAAGUCGAACGGAGUGGCGGACGGGUGAGUAAUGUCUGGGCAACUGCCUGAUGGAGGGGGAUAACUACUGGAAACGGUAGCUAAUACCGCAUACUAUCAGAUGAGCCUAGGUCGGAUUAGCUAGUUGGUGGGGUAAAGGCCUACCAAGGCGACGAUCCGUAACUGGUCUGAGAGGAUGAUCAGUCACACGGGAACUAGGACACGGACAAGACUCCUACGGGAGGAAGAAGUGGGGAAUAUUGGACAAUGGGGGAAAGCCUGAUCCAGCCAUGCCGCGUGUGUGAAGAAGGUCUUCGGAUUGUAAAGCACUUUAAGUUGGGAGGCGUUACCAACAGAAUAAGCACCGGCUAACUUCGUGCCAGCAGCCGCGGUAAUAC
rnacentral:rRNA from 1 species